GGAACGGCGGAGGAUGGAGGUGGUGGUGUUCAUCUUCUCUCUCCUCGAUUGUUGCGUGCUCAUCUUCCUCUCGGUCUACUUCAUAAUUACAUUGUCUGAUUUAGAAUGUGAUUACAUUAAUGCUAGAUCAUGUUGCUCAAAAUUAAACAAGUGGGUAAUUCCAGAAUUAAUUGGUCAUACCAUUGUCACUGUGUUAAUGCUCAUUUCAUUGCACUGGUUCAUCUUCCAUCUCAAUUUACCUGUCGCCACUUGGAAUAUAUAUCGGUUCAUUAUGGUUCCAAGUGGUAACAUGGGAGUGUUUGAUCCAACAGAAAUACAUAAUCAGGGGCAGCUGAAGUCACACAUGAAAGAAGCCAUGAUCAAGCUUGGUUUCCACUUGCUCUGUUUCUUCAUGUAUCUUUAUAGUAUGAUUUUAGCUUUGAUAAAUGACUGAAGUUGGAGGAGCCAUGGUUGAAGUCAACAAUGCACAGUUGAGGAGCCAGACUACUUAAAUCAUCCUUAGAACCAUGACCAUAGCAGUAUAUAUAUAUUUUUUCAUCUUUGAACAACAACAACAAAAAACUAUUUUUGCUGUAUUUUUACCAUAUAAAGUAUUUGAAAAAC